GGGGAUGUAAUUGGCAUCGACAGGGUAGUGUUUGCAAUAACUGCAGCCGAGUGAUGACGUAAUCAUCAAAAACAAGAUAACUGGCAACAGAAAUCUUUCAUACGCUGCCGCUUAAUUAGCAUAAAAGAGUAAUGCUCUAGCAGCCGCUUCCAUCGAGGUUGUCCCUAGCUCGAUGAGUAAGUGUCAUAAAAAGGGAAUAAGGUUCUUAUUACGACUAAUGUAAGAAAACGAAAACUUAUAGUCUCGCAUUUAAUUGUUUGACGUCAUUAUCAGUUAAAUGUUAAACACAAAUCACGUCUAAGCUGUAGACGUUAUUGUUGGGCCUAUUUUGGACCGGAGUUCGACUCUCCGCAUCUCCACCA
rnacentral:tmRNA from 1 species